UUUGAAAUUUUUGUAACCACUUGAUGCAGGAAAGAUGCAUCUUUGUGAUCAAUGUAGCGAAACUCUAGUGUUCUGUGCACAUGAUGGUUCUUAAUGAUAGAACUUCCCUGAAGCAUUCCAAUCCUUUUAUCACUGAAUAUAAUCCUGUGGGUGGAAUUGUUUUGGUACUUAAACAAGUCAUGGGAACUGAGUUAAAUGUCUGAAUCCUUUCAAAUCCUCUGCACUCAAUCCAUUCGGCAUUUCCUAACCAAAGUGAUGAUGUACAACAUUUGCAAGAGUAAAUUCAACUGUGGCAACUGGAAACUGGCAACUGCAUUCCUCCUUUUGCCCAACACCAAAUGAAAGAGACUCGAAAUCAUGUCAUCUGAAAUCUAAAUCACUGUUCAUAAAUUUAUCCGCCCUCCAACUCAGUGUCCUUGAUGAUGCUCUAAAGCACAUCUUAUUCGGAUCCUCCUUGGUUAACAUUGAACAUUUUCCAUCCGCCGUCUUCGCCUUGUCUUGUAACUUCUCCAUUACUUUUGGAUUCCAAACAAGCACUGCCAUGGCCCACUCCAAGAAUAUGCAUGAGGGACUGACCAAAGUUCAUUUUUAGAGAAAAUGGCGCACACCUGAUUCUCGCUUCUCUUUGUUCAAGAAUUUAGAGUUUCUUACUCAAAGAUUGUUUGAAUGUGCUGUCAAUUCUCAACUGCAAGUUUGUGUCUGAUUAUGGCCAUGACUGAGCAAAUGCCCAGGGACUUAUCAAAACUUGACGUGUUGAAGAACUAAAGGAUUCCUGAAAUACUUUUAAGCUCUUUGUUGAUGUUUUUGGAGAUAUCAAUCAAUUGCCACUUGUUUUCCUGCCUCAGCUUUUAUAUCAAGGAUUUGGAAUUGAUGGCAACUAUGUAUUAUCAGAAUCAAGCGGAAGUUCAUUCCUUGCAGAUGAAAAGACAUUAUCACAUGUUAUGUGUUGUAUCAUCUUUUGCACUAGUUUUCGAAUGUUGAAAAUUAAACAUGUUUUGAUUUCUCUCUAGCUUACUACCUUUUGCACUAGUUUGCCAAUGUUAAAUUGGAACAUGAUUUUUUUAUUGCUCUUCAGUUUACUGAAUCAAUUACAAAGGGUGUGUAUUGUUGAUUGUA